AUGAGGAUGAUCACAUGGGAGCCCGGUCUCGAGGACCGGUUUCUGAAUGCCUACAUUGUGCAGGCUCCAUGGGGCAGUCUUCUUCAGGUGUGGAGACUGUACGAGCACUGCGAUUUAGAGCCCGAGCCUGGGGCGUCUGUUUUCUGGAACACCGGAGAGCUUGUAAUAUACGAAGUCGACGCUUCGUCGGGAGAGAGAAUUAGGAAACUCAGUUGCUUGCGCGACCAUGCGCUGUUUCUCGGGCACAAUCAAACACUUUGUCUUGCUGCUCGAGACUAUCCGGCUCUCAGGGGAAACCAUGCCUACUUUACCGACGACAAUGUGCUUUGGACAAAGGGGUUCAGGAACAAUCCCCGUGACAUGGGGAUUCUCGACCUGGGUAAUAACAGCAGGGAGGAACUUGUGUCUCCCCGGCUUUGCUCCGACUGCCCGGCUCCCGUGUGGAUUACACCCAAUCUUAGAAAGAUGAACUUGGCUUUCAACGAAUAG
rnacentral:rRNA from 1 species